GAGCAGCAGCGAACUGCUCUCCCUGCCUGAAAUCCUGAGGCUGCAGAGCAGGCAGAGAGGCUCUGCAGGAGAGUUUUACUGCAGGUCGAUGUUUGAGCGCAUUCAGACCGCCACGUCACCUGCCAGGGAGGAAGGGUCUGGAGUGAACAUUUCCCCCUCUGAACAUCCCGUAAGGCAGAGGGUGCGUUUUUCUCCUGUCACACGCAAGAACUUAUGGCGGAGGUGGAAAAGUAUAAAAGACGUUACCCCAUCCUCGUCUGUGCGUUCCUGACGGUUGUUUUCUUUGCUAUUCUACUUGUAUUCUUAAUCAGCCUACAUUGUUAUAUGAAUUGUUAAUAGUUAAUUAUUCCCAGAUUCUUGUUUGCUAUUAAAUUGUUAUUGUGUUAACUAUAUAAUCUGUAUUGUCGACUGUACAUUUCGGCGUACUACUCGAAUUUGUUUAACGCCACUGGAUGAAAUCCUAGUAGCAAAUUGCAUGUUAGUUAUAACGUGUUGAAUUAAUCUUAUAAAACAUGGAACAGCACAUGGCAAAAACAAUAAGGUGGCUAAUCCACAUAACAAAUAAAAUAGGAUUUGUUUUACCCAGGGGCUUCCGAGAAGCCAGGAAAACAAAUCAAUAUUCCAGUCUUUCCAAGUUCGGAUGGGAACAUGGGCUAACUUCCCUAUCUCUGAUGUGAUUUGUUUAACUACCUCACCAUUGCCAUCAAUCUUCAAACAACAAUUGGAAACAUUUAAUUUACCACAAACACCUCCUUCUUCGGCUAGCAGGAAAUCGAAUAGUUUGGCUCCUGAUCUGUACUUACAGUUUGGAUUUUACCAUCUGGUAUUAAGGAUAAUUCCUCCUUUCCUACCUCCUCUGCUGCUGCAGACUUUCAUCUGCACAUCCCAUAACAAGUCACCGUCAUGGUAAAACACACAGAUUUACAUUAGUAGAACUGCUACAGAGUGUAUUUUAUUUCAGUUUUUCUGCCAAUAUUCCCCACAGCCUUGCUGAGCAAGGGAUAUUGUUUUACCUGAACUAGGCAGGCCUUCCCCUUAUCAUUUUUACUGUAACAGGUAAAGCAUUUUUUCCUUACCUGGAAUUUAUUUCCAGAUAUACCUGGUUAAAGAUUUCUUUUACUUCAGGGAGGUCC